rnacentral:rRNA from 1 species
GACGAACGCUGGCGGCGUGCCUAAUACAUGCAAGUUGAGCGCUGAAGGUUGGUACUUGUACCAACUGGAUGAGCAGCGAACGGGUGAGUAACGCGUGGGGAAUCUGCCUUUGAGCGGGGGACAACAUUUGGAAACGAAUGCUAAUACCGCAUAAAAACUUUAAACACAAGUUUUAAGUUUGAAAGAUGCAAUUGCAUCACUCAAAGAUGAUCCCGCGUUGUAUUAGCUAGUUGGUGAGGUAAAGGCUCACCAAGGCGAUGAUACAUAGCCGACCUGAGAGGGUGAUCGGCCACAUUUGGACUGAGACACGGCCCAAACUCCUACGGGAGGCAGCAGUAGGGAAUCUUCGGCAAUGGACGAAAGUCUGACCGAGGAACGCCGCGGGAGUGAAGAAGGGUUUCGGAUCGUAAAACUCUGUUGGUAGAGAAGAACGUUGGUGAGAGUGGAAAGCUCAUCAAGUGACGGUAACUACCCAGAAAGGGACGGCUAACUACGUG